GAGUUUGAUCGUGGCUCAGAUUGAACGCUGGCGGCAGGCCUAACACAUGCAAGUCGAGCGGAUGAAGGGAGCUUGCUCCUGGAUUCAGCGGCGGACGGGUGAGUAAUGCCUAGGAAUCUGCCUGGUAGUGGGGGAUAACGUCCGGAAACGGGCGCUAAUACCGCAUACGUCCUGAGGGAGAAAGUGGGGGAUCUUCGGACCUCACGCUAUCAGAUGAGCCUAGGUCGGAUUAGCUAGUUGGUGGGGUAAAGGCUACCAAGGCGACGAUCCGUAACUGGUCUGAGAGGAUGAUCAGUCACACUGGAACUGAGACACGGUCCAGACUCCUACGGGAGGCAGCAGUGGGGAAUAUUGGACAAUGGGCGAAAGCCUGAUCCAGCCAUGCCGCGUGUGUGAAGAAGGUCUUCGGAUUGUAAAGCACUUUAAGUUGGGAGGAAGGGCAGUAAGUUAAUACCUUGCUGUUUGUACGUUACCAACAGAAUAAGCACCGGGCUAACUUCGUGCCAGCAGCCGC
rnacentral:rRNA from 1 species